GACAGAGGAUGCAAGCGUUAUCCGGAAUGAUUGGGCGUAAAGCGUCCGCAGGUGGCUGUGUAAGUCUGCUGUUAAAGAGUGAGGCUCAACCUCAUAAAGGCAGUGGAAACUACAUGGCUAGAGUGCGUUCGGGGCAGAGGGAAUUCCUGGUGUAGCGGUGAAAUGCGUAGAGAUCAGGAAGAACACCGGUGGCGAAAGCAGCUCUCUGGGACGGUACUGACGCUGAGACGCGAAAGCGUGGGGAGCGAACAGG
rnacentral:rRNA from 1 species